AGUGAACGCUGGCGGUAGGCCUAACACAUGCAAGUCGAACGGCAGCACAGUAAGAGCUUGCUCUUACGGGUGGCGAGUGGCGGACGGGUGAGGAAUACAUCGGAAUCUACUUUUUCGUGGGGGAUAACGUAGGGAAACUUACGCUAAUACCGCAUACGACCUACGGGUGAAAGCAUGGGAUCUUCGGACCUUGCGCGAUUGAAUGAGCCGAUGUCGGAUUAGCUAGUUGGCGGGGUAAAGGCCCACCAAGGCGACGAUCCGUAGCUGGUCUGAGAGGAUGAUCAGCCACACUGGAACUGAGACACGGUCCAGACUCCUACGGGAGGCAGCAGUGGGGAAUAUUGGACAAUGGGCGAAAGCCUGAUCCAGCCAUACCGCGUGGGUGAAGAAGGCCUUCGGGUUGUAAAGCCCUUUUGUUGGGAAAGAAAAGCAGCAGGUUAAUACCCCGCUGUUAUGACGGUACCCAAAGAAUAAGCACCGGCUAACUUCGUG
rnacentral:rRNA from 1 species